AUUGAACGCUGGCGGCAGGCCUAACACAUGCAAGUCGAGCGAGAGGCGGACGGGUGAGUAAUAUAUGUGGGCUGCCCGAUAGAGGGGGAUAACAACUGGAAACAGUAGCUAAUACCGCACAUGAUCGGAGUACCCCUAUGGGAGUAGCUAGUAUGUGGGGUAAUGGCUCACCUUGGCGACGAUCCCUAGCUGGUCUGAGAGGAUGAUCAGCCACACUGGGACUGAGACACGGCCCAGACUCCUACGGAGGCAGCAGUGGGGAAUAUUGCACAAUGGGCACAAGCCUGAUGCAGCCAUGCCGCGUGUAUGAAGAAGGCCCUAGGGUUGUAAAGUACUUUCAGUCGGGAGGCGUUACCGGCAGAAGAAGCACCGGCUAACUCCGUGCCAGCAGCCGCGGUAAUUC
rnacentral:rRNA from 1 species